rnacentral:rRNA from 1 species
UCUGUGUGUGACCACCCUGAAUGCACUCGAUCUCCUCUGAUCCUGGAAGCUAAGCAGGGUUGGGCCUGGUUAACACUUGGAUGGGAGUCCUUCAAGAUUCUUUGAGAAAUGCAAGAA